ACCUAGGUGGCUCAGUAGGUUAAGCAGCUGACUUCAGCUCAGGUCAUGAUCUCGCAGUUUGUGGGUUCAAGUCCCGCAUUGGGCU
rnacentral:tRNA from 1 species